CAGUCGCCGCGGGAAUACGUAGGGGGCAAGCGUUACUCGGAAUUACUGGGCGUAAAGCGUGCGUAGGUGGUGGUUUAAGUCCGUUGUGAAAGCCCUGGGCUCAACCUGGGAAUUGCAGUGGAUACUGGAUCACUAGAGUGUGGUAGAGGAUAGUGGAAUUUCCGGUGUAGCAGUGAAAUGCGUAGAGAUCGGAAGGAACAUCUGUGGCGAAGGCGACUAUCUGGGCCAACACUGACACUGAGACACGAAAGCGUGGGGAGCAAACAGGAUUAGAGACCCCGGUAGUCCCUGUCUCUUAUAC
rnacentral:rRNA from 1 species